UACAGAGGGUGCGAGCGUUAAUCGGAAUUACUGGGCGUAAAGCGUGCGUAGACGGUUAUUUAAGUCGGGUGUGAAAGCCCCGGGCUCAACCUGGGAAUUGCAUUCGAGACUGAAUAGCUAGAGUACGGUAGAGGGGAUGGAAUUCCGCGUGUAGCAGUGAAAUGCGUAGAUAUGCGGAGGAACACCGAUGGCGAAGGCAAUCCCCUGGACCUGUACUGACGCUCAUGCACGAAAGCGUGGGGAGC
rnacentral:rRNA from 1 species